rnacentral:tRNA from 1 species
AAAUAUAAAAUAGAUUUUACUAUAUCUGAUUACGGCUCAGCUAGAAUUAUAUUUCUUUUUUUUUUUU